UUUAUCCUUUCAUUUCUUUUGGUUUUCUCUUUCAUUUUGUUCCGCUGCCUAGUUUAAGAGAGAUAGAGGGUUAUGAGAUGCAGAAGCGGGAAGUCUCAAUAAGAACAAUAGCGCAGAAGAGAGAGCAUAUAUUGAGCACGGGGCAGGACGAGCAAGAGUAGCAAGACGAGCAGAGCCACAGUUGAUUGAGGGGGACACUUGCCCCUCCUAGAAUUGAGCCCCAUCUAAACUUUUAUCCAUAAAUUGUAUUUUUUUCAAGGUUUUACCACCGUAAAUUGUAAUUUUUUCUUUUAAGGUUUUGCCUCCGUCGAGAGGAAAUCCUGGCUCUGUCCCUAUAGGUGAUUGCAGUUGAAAAUGAAUAUCGGGAAGAUAAACCAACGCAGCUGUGUAGUGAAAUGAGAGAUUUGGAAAUUCGGUGGUUUAGGGACACCAAUUUGGGGCUGAGGAGACCGAAACUAUGCACCCGGAAGGCUCCACUAGUUGAAUUAUCAUUUUGGGAGUUUUUAUGAACAAGAGGAGUCUAGCCAUACAGGAGAACCUUUUUUGACAUCGGGGAUCAGCAUGAAGGAUUUUCCAGCUGGACCUACUCGUAGUAUAGGUAGUAUGUUUAUGUAGAAUGUGGUAAAUAUCGCCCAGAAAACUUUUGUUUAGUCGGUGUUUGUGGGAAUCACAUUAGGUGUUUUUGAGAAAGAUUUUUUUCUUGCGAUAUAUAUAUGUUAGAGUUUGUUGGAUUGGUUAUAUUCUUGGGAGUUUAUGAAUAUAUAUAUAUAUAUAUAUAUAUAUAUAUAAGUUUAUGAUUUGGGAUGGAUAUCAAGAUAUUUUAGGGGAUACUCUAUCGGAUUUUUGGAUCGUGACAUUUUUUGUAUCAGAUCAUCAGUAAUAAGAUUCUGUAGACUUAAGUGUUUUUCUGA